UACAGAGGUCCCAAGCGUUGUUCGGAUUCACUGGGCGUAAAGGGUGCGUAGGUGGUAAGGCAAGUCAGGUGUGAAAUCUCCGGGCUCAACCCGGAAAUGGCAUUCGAAACUACCUUGCUAGAGGGUUUGAGGGGGGACUGGAAUACUUGGUGUAGCAGUGAAAUGCGUAGAUAUCAAGUGGAACACCGGUGGCGAAGGCGGGUCUCUGGGCCGUAACUGACGCUGAGGAGCGAAAGCAUGGGGAGCGAACAGG
rnacentral:rRNA from 1 species